GGAUAGUGGCGACGGGUGAGUAACACGUGGGCAAUCUGCCCUGCACUCUGGGACAAGCCCUGGAAACGGGGUCUAAUACCGGAUACUGACCCGCCUGGGCAUCCAGGCGGUUCGAAAGCUCCGGCGGUGCAGGAUGAGCCCGCGGCCUAUCAGCUUGUUGGUGAGGUAAUGGCUCACCAAGGCGACGACGGGUAGCCGGCCUGAGAGGGCGACCGGCCACACUGGGACUGAGACACGGCCCAGACUCCUACGGGAGGCAGCAGUGGGGAAUAUUGCACAAUGGGCGCAAGCCUGAUGCAGCGACGCCGCGUGAGGGAUGACGGCCUUCGGGUUGUAAACCUCUUUCAGCAGGGAAGAAGCGCAAGUGACGGUACCUGCAGAAGAAGCGCCGGCUAACUACGUGCCAGCAGCCGCGGUAAUACGUAGGGCGCGAGCGUUGUCCGGAAUUAUUGGGCGUAAAGAGCUCGUAGGCGGUCUGUCACGUCGGAUGUGAAAGCCCGGGGCUUAACCCCGGGUCUGCAUUCGAUACGGGCAGACUAGAGUGUGGUAGGGGAGAUCGGAAUUCCUGGUGUAGCGGUGAAAUGCGCAGAUAUCAGGAGGAACACCGGUGGCGAAGGCGGAUCUCUGGGCCAUUACUGACGCUGAGGAGCGAAAGCGUGGGGAGCGAACAGGAUUAGAUACCCUGGUAGUCCACGCCGUAAACGGUGGGAACUAGGUGUUGGCGACAUUCCACGUCGUCUGUGCCGCAGCUAACGCAUUAAGUUCCCCGCCUGGGGAGUACGGCCGCAAGGCUAAACUCAAAGGAAUUGACGGGGCC
rnacentral:rRNA from 1 species